rnacentral:ncRNA from 1 species
CAUAAAGCUUUGACCAAGAGGGUUAAUGGGUACUCACUAUUACAGAGAGAAAUGGGUGGUGUAACAUUUCAGUGAGCUGUUAACUGUAGCUUGCCAGCUGUUGUUUUGAACUAAUAGUAAAAACGACCGGAUCUCCAUCCGUUAACACAGAAUUUAAGUGGGGUUUAAUAGCCCAAUUUAGGUGGUACCACGGCACUGUCGUCCUAAUU